rnacentral:rRNA from 1 species
ACGGAGGGGGCGAGCGUUAUUCGGAAUUAUUGGGCGUAAAGGGCGCGUAGGCGGCCUGUUAAGUCGAACGUGAAAUCCCCGGGCUCAACCCGGGAACUGCGUCCGAUACUGGCAGGCUUGAAUCCGGGAGAGGGAUGCGGAAUUCUAGGUGUAGCGGUGAAAUGCGUAGAUAUCUGGAGGAACACCGGUGGCGAAGGCGGCAUCCUGGACCGGCAUUGACGCUGAGGCGCGAAAGCCAGGGGAGCAAACGGGA